rnacentral:rRNA from 1 species
GAUGAACGCUCGCGGCAGGCCUAACACAUGCAAGUCGAGGGGGAAGUUACUUUCGGGUGACUGAGACCGGCGUACGGGUGCGUAACGCGUAUACAAUCUGCCUUUCACUGGGGGAUAGCCCGAAGAAAUUUGGAUUAAUACCUCAUAGUAUAUAGGGACGGCAUCGUUUUUAUAUUAAAGCUUAGGUGGUGAAAGAUGAGUAUGCGUUCUAUUAGCUAGUUGGAGAGGUAACGGCUCCCCAAGGCGAUGAUAGAUAGGGGUUCUGAGAGGGAUGUCCCCCACACUGGUACUGAGAUACGGACCAGACUCCUACGGGGGGCAGCAGUGAGGAAUAUUGGACAAUGGUCGGAAGACUGAUCCAGCCAUGCCGCGUGCAGGAUGAAGGUCUUAUGGAUUGUAAACUGCUUUUGUAAGGGAAGAAUAAGGGCUACGCGUAGUUUGAUGACGGUACCUUACGAAUAAGCAUCGGCUAACUCCGUG